GACGAACGCUGGCGGCGUGCCUAAUACAUGCAAGUCGAGCGGACCGACGGGAGCUUGCUCCCUUAGGUCAGCGGCGGACGGGUGAGUAACACGUGGGUAACCUGCCUGUAAGACUGGGAUAACUCCGGGAAACCGGGGCUAAUACCGGAUGCUUGAUUGAGCCGCAUGGUUCAAUUAUAAAAGGUGGCUUUCAGCUACCACUUACAGAUGGACCCGCGGCGCAUUAGCUAGUUGGUGAGGUAACGGCUCACCAAGGCGACGAUGCGUAGCCGACCUGAGAGGGUGAUCGGCCACACUGGGACUGAGACACGGCCCAGACUCCUACGGGAGGCAGCAGUAGGGAAUCUUCCGCAAUGGACGAAAGUCUGACGGAGCAACGCCGCGUGAGUGAUGAAGGUUUUCGGAUCGUAAAACUCUGUUGUUAGGGAAGAACAAGUACCGUUCGAAUAGGGCGGCACCUUGACGGUACCUAACCAGAAAGCCACGGCUAACUACGUGCCAGCAGCCGCGGUAAUACGUAGGUGGCAAGCGUUGUCCGGAAUUAUUGGGCGUAAAGCGCGCGCAGGCGGUUUCUUAAGUCUGAUGUGAAAGCCCCCGGCUCAACCGGGGAGGGUCAUUGGAAACUGGGGAACUUGAGUGCAGAAGAGGAGAGUGGGAUUCCACGUGUAGCGGUGAAAUGCGUAGAGAUGUGGAGGAACACCAGUGGCGAAGGCGACUCUCUGGUCUGUAACUGACGCUGAGGCGCGAAAGCGUGGGGAGCGAACAGG
rnacentral:rRNA from 1 species